CAGUCGAACGAAACUUCUUUAUCACCGAGUGCUUGCACUCACCGAUAAAGAGUUGAGUGGCGAACGGGUGAGUAACACGUGGGCAACCUGCCCAAAAGAGGGGGAUAACACUUGGAAACAGGUGCUAAUACCGCAUAACCAUAGUUACCGCAUGGUAACUAUGUAAAAGGUGGCUAUGCUACCGCUUUUGGAUGGGCCCGCGGCGCAUUAGCUAGUUGGUGGGGUAAAGGCUUACCAAGGCAAUGAUGCGUAGCCGAACUGAGAGGUUGAUCGGCCACAUUGGGACUGAGACACGGCCCAAACUCCUACGGGAGGCAGCAGUAGGGAAUCUUCCACAAUGGGCGAAAGCCUGAUGGAGCAACGCCGCGUGGGUGAAGAAGGUCUUCGGAUCGUAAAACCCUGUUGUUAGAGAAGAAAGUGCGUGAGAGUAACUGUUCACGUUUCGACGGUAUCUAACCAGAAAGCCACGGCUAACUACGUGCCAGCAGCCGCGGUAAUACGUAGGUGGCAAGCGUUAUCCGGAUUUAUUGGGCGUAAAGGGAACGCAGGCGGUCUUUUAAGUCUGAUGUGAAAGCCUUCGGCUUAACCGGAGUAGUGCAUUGGAAACUGGGAGACUUGAGUGCAGAAGAGGAGAGUGGAACUCCAUGUGUAGCGGUGAAAUGCGUAGAUAUAUGGAAGAACACCAGUGGCGAAAGCGGCUCUCUGGUCUGUAACUGACGCUGAGGUUCGAAAGCGUGGGUAGCAAACAGGAUUAGAUACCCUGGUAGUCCACGCCGUAAACGAUGAAUGCUA
rnacentral:rRNA from 1 species